rnacentral:misc_RNA from 1 species
AACCAUAGAAACCUGCGGAGUACCUGCGGAGGGAUCAUUACAGAGUUCAUGCCCUCACGGGUAGAUCUUCCACCCUUGAAUACUAUACCUUUGUUGCUUUGGCGGGCCGCUUUGGCUACUGGCUCUGGCUAGUAAGUGCCCGCCAAAGAACCCCAAAACUCUGAAUAUUAGUGUCGUCUGAGUACUAUAUAAUAGUUAAAACUUUUAACAAUGGAUCU